rnacentral:lncRNA from 1 species
UUUUCAAAAUGUCGCGGAACAUACGAGAUGUUUCGAGGGCUGAAAUUGGGAUUUCAGGCUCGUGCCCAUGUCAAGAGGUAUAAGACCUCCGAUGACUUUCUUAACCUGCAAACUAAGGAGAAAAGCUCAAUUGUUGAGCUUGUGCUCAGAUUGUCUGAGUACAACAAUCAUUUGAAAUCGAGUGGGAGUUGAUCUUCCAAAUGAGAUAGUGAUGUUUCUCCAAAGUCAUUGCCACCAAGCUGCUAGAGCUUCGUGAUGAACUAUAACAUAUCAGGGAUAGAUAUGAUGAUCCUUGAAACAUUCAUGAUGUUUGACACCACGAAAGUAGAAUUCAAGAAGGAGCAUCAAUUGUUGAUGGUUGGUGAAACCACUAGUUUCAAGAAGGGCAAGGGAACAAAGGGAUACUUCAUGAAACGGCAAUUCAGCUGCUGCUCAAGUGAAGAAACCCAAGGUUGGACCCAAACCCGAGACUAAGUGCUUCUGUAAUAAGGGGAACAACCACUGGAGCAGCAUUACCCUAGAUACUUGGUAGAUGAGAAGGCUGGCAAGGUCGAUAGAAGUAUAUUGGAUAUACAUUAUGUUAAUGUGUACUUUACUAGUACUCCUAGUAGCACCAGGGUAUUGGAUACCGGUUCGGUUGCUAAGUGUUAGUAAGUCGAAAUAAAAGCUACGGAAUAAACGGAGACUAGCUAAAGGUGAGCUGACGAUAUGUGUUGGAAGUUUUUCCAAGCUUGAUAUGAUCAAGCAUCGCACGCUCCCUCUACCAAAGAGAUUGGUGUUAAACCUAAAUAAUUGUUAUUUGGUGUUUGCGUUGAGCAUAGACAUGAUUGGAUUACGUCUAUCGCAAUACGGUUAUUCAUUUAAGGAGAAUAAUGGUUACUCUGUUUAUUUGAAUAAUACCUUCAAUGGUCUUACACCUAAAAUGAAUGGUUUAUUAAAUCUCGAUCGUAGUGAUACACAUGUUCAUGCCAAAAGAUAGUAAUGAUAGUACCACCUACUUGUGGCACUGCCACGUAAGUCAUAUCGGUAUAAAACGCAUGAAGAAGCUCCAUAUUGAUGGAUCUUUGGGCUCACUCGUUUUUGAAAAGUUUGAGACAUGCGAACCAUGUCUAUUGGUGUAUAUGCAUGAAGAAACUCCAUGCAAAUGGACCGUUUUGACUCACUUGAUUUUGAAUCACUUGGGACAUGCAAAUCAGACCACAUGGGCAAGAUGACUGAAAAGCCUCGUUUUCAGUAAGAUGGAACAAGAUAGCAACUUGUUAGAAGUAACACAUUUUGAUGUGUGCAGUCCAAUGAGUGCUGAGGCAUGUAGUGGAUAUUGUUAUGUUCUUACUUCACAGAUAAUUUGAGUGGAUGUUGAGUACAUUUGCUUGAUGAAUCAUGAGUCUGAAUUAUUGAAAGGUUCAAGUAAUUUCAGGGUGAAGUUGAAAGAUCGUCGUGACAAGAGGAUAAAAUAUCUAUGAUAUGAUCAUAGAGAUGAAUAUCUGAAUUACGAGUUUUGGCACACAAUUAAGACAUUGUGGAAAUUGUUUCACAAUUAAUAGCGCCUGGAACACCAUAGUGUGAUGGUGUGUCCAAACGUCAUAGUUGCACCCUAUUGGAUAUGGUACAUACCAUGAUGUCUCUUAUCGAGUUACCACUAUCGUUCAUGGGUUAGGCAUUAGAGACAACCACAUUCACUUUAAAUAGGGCACCACAUAAUUUCGUUGAGACGACACCAUAUGAACUAUGGUUUGGAGAAACCUAAGUUGCCGUUUCUUGAAAGUUUGGGGCUGCGACGCUUAUGUGAAAAGGUUUCAGGUUGAUAAGCUCGAACCCAAAGCAGAUAAAAUGCAUCUUCAUAGGACACCCAAAAACAGUUGGGUAUACCUCCUAAUUAAGAUCCGAAAGCAAUAGGGAUUGUUUCUUGAAUCGGGUCCUUUUUCGAGGAAAGGUUUCUCUCGAAAAGUUGAGUGGGAGGAUGGUGGAGACUUGAUGAGGUUAUUGAACCGUCACUUCAACAAGUGUGUAGCAGGGCACAGGAAGUUGUUCCUGUGGCACCUACACCAAUUGAAGUGGAAGCUUGUGAUAGUGAUCGUGAAGUUUCGGAUCAAGUCGCUACCGAACCUCGUAGGGUGACAAGGAUACGUACUACUUCAGAGUGGUACAGUAAUCCUGUCUUGGAAGUCAUGUUGCUAGACAACAAUGAACCUACGAGCUAUGGAGAAGCGAUGGUGGGCCCGGAUUCCGAUAAAUGGCUCAAGGCCAUAAAACCCGAGAGAGGAUCCAUGUAUGAAAACAAAGUGUAGACUUUGGAAGAACUACUUGAUGGUCGUAAGGCUGUUAGGUACAUAUGGAUUUUGAAAGGAAGACAGACAAUGAUGGUAAGUGUCACCAUUGAGAAAGCUCGACUUGUCGUUAAGAUGUUUUUCGACAAGUUCAAGGAGUUGACUACGAUGAGACUUUCUCACUCGUAGCGAUGCUAAGAGUCUGUUGGAAUUAUAUUAGCAAUUACUGCAUUAUUUAUGAAAUCUUGCAGAUAGGAUGUCAAAACAUUGUUUCCUCGACGAUUCUUGAGGAAAGGUUGUAUGUGAUACAACCGGAAGGUUUUUGUCUAUCCUGAAAUAUGCUAAUAAGUAUGCAAAGCUCCAGCAAUCCUUCUGAGGACUGGAGUGAGCAUCUCGGAGUUGGAAUGUAUGCUUUGAUGAUGAUCAAAGAUUUUGGGUGUAUACAAAGUUUAUGAGUAACUUGUAUUUCCAAAGAAGUGAGUGGGAGCACUAUAGAAUUUCUGAUGAGUAUAUGUUGUUGACAUAUUAAUGAUCAGAAAUGACGUAGAAUUUCUGGAAAGCAUAUAGGGUUAUUUGGAAAGUGUUUUCAAUGGAAAGCCUGGAUUAAGCUAUUUGAACAUUGAGCAUCAAGAUCUAUAAGGAUAGAUCAAAAUGCUUAAUAAUACUUUCAAAUGAGCACAUACCUUGACAUGAUCUUGAAGGUGUUCAAGAUGGACCAGUCAAAGAAGGAGUUCUUGCCUGAGUUGUAAGGUACGAAGUUAAGACUUAAAGCUCGACCACGGCAGAAUAGAGAGAAAGGACGAAGGUCGUCCCCUAUGCUUUAGACGUAGGCUCUACAGUAUGCUAUGCUGUGUACCGCACCUGAAGUGUGCCUUGCCAUGAGUCAGUCAAGGGGUACAAGAGUGAUCCAAGAAUAGAUCACAGGACAGCGGUCAAAGUUAUCCUUAGUAACUAGUGGACUAAGGAAUUUUCUCGAUUAUGGAGGUGGUAAAGGGGUUCGUCGUAAAGGGUUACGUCGAUGCAAGCUUAACACCUAUCCGGAUAGCUCUGAGUAGAGAUACUGGAUACGUAUAAUGGAGCAACAAUUUAGAAUAGCUCCAAGUAGAACAGUUGUUUGGAAUAGCUCCAAAUAGAGCGUGGUAGCUGCAUCUAGGAGAUGACAUAGAGAUUUGUAAAGCACACAUGAAUCUGAAAGGUUCAGACCCGUUGACUAAAACCUCUCUCACAAGCAACAUGAUCAAACAUAAAACUCAUUGAGUGUUAAUCACAUAGUGAUGUGAACUAGACUACUGACUCUAGUAAACUCUUGGGUGUUAGUCACAUGGCGAUGUGACCUGUGAGUGUUAAUCACAUAUCGAUGUGAACUAGAUUAUUGACUCUAGUGCAAGUGGGAGACUAUUGGAAAUAUGCCCUAGAGGCAAUAAUAAAUUGAUUAUUAUUAUAUUUCCUUGUUCAUGAUAAUCGUUUAUUAUCCAUGCUAGAAUUGUAUUGAUAGGAAACUCAGAUACAUGUGUGGAUACAUAGACAACACCAUGUCCCUAGUAAGCCUCUAGUUGACUAGCUCGUUAAUCAAUAGAUGGUAACGGUUUCCUGACCAUGGACAUUGGAUGUCGUUGAUAACGGGAUCACAUCAUUAGGAGAAUGAUGUGAUGGACAAGACCCAAUCCUAAGCCUAGCACAAGAUCAUGUAGUUCGUAUGCUAAAGCUUUUCUAAUGUCAAGUAUCAUUUCCUUAGACCAUGAGAUUGUGCAACUCCCGGAUACCGUAGGAGUGCUUUGGGUGUGCCAAACGUCACAACGUAACUGGGUGGCUAUAAAGGUACACUACGGGUAUCUCUGAAAGUGUCUGUUGGGUUGGCACGAAUCGAGAUUGGGAUUUUGUCACUCCGUGUAAACGGAGAGGUAUCUCUGGGCCCACUCGGUAGGACAUCAUCAUAAUGUGCACAAUGUGACCAAGGGGUUGAUCACGGGAUGAUGUGUUACGGAACGAGUAAAGAGACUUGCCGGUAACGAGAUUGAACAAGGUAUCGGUAUACCGAUGAUCGAAUCUCGGGCAAGUACCAUACCGCUAGACAAAGGGAAUUGUAUACGGGAUCGAUUGAGUCCUUGACAUCGUGGUUCAUCCGAUGAGAUCAUCGUGGAACAUGUGGGAGCCAACAUGGGUAUCCAGAUCCCGCUGUUGGUUAUUGACCGGAGAACGUCUCGGUCAUGUCUGCAUGUCUCCCGAACCCGUAGGGUCUACACACUUAAGGUUCGAUGACGCUAGGGUUAUAAAGGAAGUUUGUAUGUGGUUACCGAAUGUUGUUCGGAGUCCCGGAUGAGAUCCCGGACGUCACGAGGAGUUCCGGAAUGGUCCGGAGGUAAAGAUUUAUAUAUAGGAAGUCCUGUUUCGGCCAUCGGGACAAGUUUCGGGGUCAUCGGUAUUGUACCGGGACCACCGGAAGGGUCCCGGGGGCCCACCGGGUGGGGCCACCUGCCCCGGGGGGCCACAUGGGCUGUAGGGGGUGCGCCUCAGCCCGUCACGCCGUCUUCGCCUGCGGCUCGGCCGGUCACGCCGUCUUCACCUGCGGCUCAGGUCCUCACGUCGCCUUCAUCCGCGGAUCGGCCCGCGACACCGGCCGCGCCACGGCCCACUAUGCCGAGCUCACCAUCGGCCCGGUCUGUGAUGCCGGAGUCGCCAGCUGCUUCGUCUGCUCUGCCGGUUUCGCCAGUGGGCCGGCCUUCUUCGCCGACCGAGUCCGAGGCGACCGUGACUGACUCCUCGUCACCGGCUGACUCGUCAACGUCGCCGUCCUCCAGCCCGUUGCAGGCUGCUCCGUCGACCUCGAUGGUUCCUGUGUUCCGACCACAUACACGCAGUCGCAGUGGCAUUUUCAAACCUAAGGAACGUAAGGAUGGUACGGUUGCUUGGUUGGCUGCUUGUUUAGCUGCUGCUGUUGCGGAUCCUUCUUCUGAGCCUCGCUCAUAUCAGGCUGCCCUGCGCAUUCCACAUUGGCGAGAGGCUAUGGAGCAGGAGUUUCAUGCUCUUCUUCGUAACAAGACAUGGACUCUCGUUCCUCCACCACCACGGGUAAAUGUUAUUGACUCAAAAUGGGUAUUCAAAGUGAAGAAGCAUUCGGAUGGAUCUAAUUACAAAGCGCGACUUGUUGCUCGCGGUUUUCGGCAGCGUCAUGGUCUUGACUAUGAGGACACCUUCAGUCCUGUCGUCAAGCCUACCACUAUUUGGCUUCUUCUCUCCAUUGCUGUUUCUCGUGGUUGGUCACUUCGUCAACUUGAUGUGCAGAAUGCUUUUCUACAUGGAUUUUUGGAGGAAGAGGUUUAUAUGAAACAGCCGCCUGGUUUCUCUGAUCCUGAUCGUCCUGACUAUAUCUGUCGUCUUUCCAAAGCACUAUAUGGUUUGAAGCAAGCUCCUCGUGCCUGGCAUGCCCGCCUUGCCUCUGCCCUUCGUGCUCAUGGGUUUGUGCCGUCCACUGCUGACACUUCAUUAUUUCUUCUACAGAAGCCAGAAGUCACUAUGUAUCUUUUGGUAUAUGUCGAUGAUAUUAUCCUUGUCAGCUCUUCUCAGUAUGCUGCUGAUGCUCUUGUCUGCUCUCUUGGUGCUGAUUUUGCGGUCAAAGAUCUUGGGAAGCUUCACUACUUUCUUGGAGUUGAGGUCACUUCUCGUGCUACUGGUCUUGUCCUUACGCAGAAGAAGUACUCCUUGGAGUUGUUACAAAGAGCUGGCAUGCUGAAGUGCAAACCGACCACCACACCCAUGUCGUCUACCGACAAGAUAACAGCUGUUGAUGGUGAGCUUUUGUCUCCUGCGGAUGCCACAGAGUACAGGAGCAUUGUUAGUGGACUUCAGUACUUGACGAUCACGAGACCAGAUAUCUCUUAUGCUGUUAACAGGGUUUGUCAGUAUCUUCAGGCUCCCAGAGAUACUCAUUGGGCUGCUGUUAAACGCAUUCUUCGUUAUGUUCAGUUCACCCUGACAUUUGGUAUGCAUAUUCGGCCAACUUCCUCUCGGGUCCUUUCGGCCUUCUCUGAUGCAGAUUGGGCUGGUAGCCCAGAUGACAGGCGAUCCACGGGGGGUUAUGCGGUAUUCUUUGGCUCUAAUUUGAUCGCCUGGAGUGCUCGGAAACAGGCUACUGUGUCACGUAGCAGUACUGAAGCUGAGUACAAGGCUGUGGCUAAUGCUACUGCAGAGAUUAUUUGGGUGCAGUCUUUGCUUCAGGAGUUGGGUUUGUCUCAACCACAGCCUCCUAUUCUUUGGUGUGAUAACAUCGGUGCUACAUACCUUUCUGCAAAUCCAGUAUUUCAUGCCCGAACGAAACACAUUGAAGUUGACUAUCACUUUGUACGGGAACGUGUAUCACAGAAGCAACUCCAGAUCAAGUUUAUCUCAUCUAAGGAUCAACUUGCAGACAUCUUCACUAAGCCUUUACCGCUGCCACAGUUUGAGGCUUGUAGGCGCAAUCUUACCCUUCUCAGUUCUUUAGAAAGUGGCUAAGAUUGAGGGAGGGUGUUAGACUAUGUAUAGCUUCUGUACUUAUGUACAUAUAUUGUACAUAUUGUAACACAAUCAUUAUAUAUAAUGAGAUAAGCCACCCCUAGAGGGUUGUGCUGGUUCCCCAAACCUAUUGUUUUACACAGACUACAGGAUUGAUGGGGCGUCCUUAUCCUCCUCCUAGCAAGCGAGCAGGUCCAGUCAUGGAACUCAAGGAGGCUGGUAAAGGUGGCUAUUCACCAGACUCCAGUGAAGCUACUUCUAGCCAUUGUGUGGAUGUUUACUCUCCUCCUCGGCCUAUUGGCAACUACCAGAUGAGUGUGGAUACUAAUCCUGACCCCCCCCCCAGGGUCGAUAUAUCAAUAUCAGUCCAAGGUGAGAGUGAGACUAUCUCUGGUAUACAUGGCAAUAAUUUGGCUUUGUCAGAGGAUAUACGUGAUGAAGAUAUGGAACUAGAUCGGGCAUUGGUGCCAGCCCAUAAGGCACCACGGGCGCCAUGAAGUGCAUAGCAUGGAACUGCCGAGGCAAAGGCAAGGGCCUAGGCAGUGAGAAGAUGACCUACCUUGCCAACCUCAUGCGUUCUACUAGUGCUCAGGUCACCUUUGUUUCUGAAAUUAAAUCAUCCAAGACUAAUAGAGCUGAUCUUCUUAAUCGUUUUGACAUUGUAGAUAGCGUAGUUGUCCCUUCAAGAGGCAAGUCAGGAGGUCUUUGGCUGAUGUGGACGGACGAGGUCCAAGUUAAGGUUCAUUUUGCGGACUUCCAUGUGAUCCUUGCCUCUGUAGUUAAUCCAGUUUCUAGCGUUUCUUUUGCUCUUAUUUGUAUAUAUGGAGACCCGUAUCAUCGUCGCUCUAGUGACAUCUGGGAUCGUAUUGCCUCUUUUGUGUAUGAUAACCAAGGCAAUCCUAUUUUGUGUAUGGGAGAUCUUAAUGAUAUACUUUAUGAUGUCGAUAAAAGUUCUCCCUUUGUGAAUUACUCUCGCUUGCAUGCUUUUCGUUAUAUUGUGAAACAAUGUGGUCUGAUUGAUCUGGGAUAUAGUGGCCCUGCUUAUACUUGGACAAACAAAAGGUAUUCUUCCAACCCAACCAUGGAAAGACUUGAUAGAUGUCUAGUUAAUGCUGAAUGUGUUGGAAAUAUGCCCUAGAGGCAAUAAUAAAUUGAUUAUUAUAUUUCCUUGUUCAUGAUAAUCGUUUAUUAUCCAUGCUAGAAUUGUAUUGAUAGGAAACUCAGAUACAUGUGUGGAUACAUAGACAACACCAUGUCCCUAGUAAGCCUCUAGUUGACUAGCUCGUUAAUCAAUAGAUGGUUACGGUUUCCUGACCAUGGACAUUGGAUGUCGUUGAUAACGGGAUCACAUCAUUAGGAGAAUGAUGUGAUGGACAAGACCCAAUCCUAAGCCUAGCACAAGAUCAUGUAGUUCGUAUGCUAAAGCUUUUCUAAUGUCAAGUAUCAUUUCCUUAGACCAUGAGAUUGUGCAACUCCCGGAUACCGUAGGAGUGCUUUGGGUGUGCCAAACGUCACAACGUAACUGGGUGGCUAUAAAGGUACACUACGGGUAUCUCUGAAAGUGUCUGUUGGGUUGGCACGAAUCGAGAUUGGGAUUUUGUCACUACGUGUAAACGGAGAGGUAUCUCUGGGCCCACUCGGUAGGACAUCAUCAUAAUGUGCACAAUGUGACCAAGGGGUUGAUCACGGGAUGAUGUGUUACGGAACGAGUAAAGAGACUUGCCGGUAACGAGAUUGAACAAGGUAUCGGUAUACCGACGAUCGAAUCUCGGGCAAGUACCAUACCGCUAGACAAAGGGAAUUGUAUACGGGAUUGAUUGAGUCCUUGACAUCGUGGUUCAUCCGAUGAGAUCAUCGUGGAACAUGUGGGAGCCAACAUGGGUAUCCAGAUCCCGCUGUUGGUUAUUGACCGGAGAACAUCUCGGUCAUGACUACAUGUCUCCCGAACCCGUAGGGUCUACACACUUAAGGUUCGAUGACGCUAGGGUUAUAAAGGAAGUUUGUAUGUGGUUACCGAAUGUUGUUCGGAGUCCCGGAUGAGAUCCCGGACGUCACUAGGAGUUCCGGAAUGGUCCGGAGGUAAAGAUUUAUAUAUAGGAAGUCCUGUUUCGGCCAUCGGGACAAGUUUCGGGGUCAUCGGUAUUGUACCGGGACCACCGGAAGGGUCCCGGGGGCCCACCGGGUGGGGCCACCUGCCCCGGGGGCCACAUGGGCUGUAGGGGGUGCGCCUUGGCCUACAUGGGCCAAGGGCACCAGCCCCUAGAGGCCCAUGCGCCAAGAUAUAGGAAAAAGGGGAGAGUCCUAAAGGGGGAAGGCACCUCCGAGGUGCCUUGGGGAGGAUGGACUCCUCCCCCCCUCUUAGCCGGCUGCGCCUCCCCCCUCUCCCCUGCCCCUAUAUAUAGUGGAGGGGAGGGAGGGCAUCCAUACCUGAGCCCUUGGCGCCUCCCUCCCUCCCGUGACACCUCCUCCUCUCCCGUAGGUGCUUGGCGAAGCCCUGCAGGAUUGCCACGCUCCUCCAUCACCACCACGCCAUUGUGCUGCUGCUGGAUGGAGUCUUCCUCAACCUCUCCCUCUCUCCUUGCUGGAUCAAGGCGUGGGAGACAUCGUCGAGCUGUACGUGUGUUGAACGCGGAGGUGACGUCCGUUCGGCACUAGGAUCAUCGGUGAUCUGAAUCACGACGAGUACGACUCCAUCAACCCCGUUCACUUGAACGCUUCCGCUUAGCAAUCUACAAGGGUAUGUAGAUGCACUCUCCUUUCUACUCGUUGCUGGUCUCUCCAUAGAUAGAUCUUGGUGAUUCGUAGGAAAAUUUUUGAAUUUCUACUACGUUCCCCAAUAGUAUUCAGAUGACAAAGAACAACAAGGCAGUAAGCUCAAAUGAUUAUCGAAACAAUGACGAGUAUUUCAGGGUAUCUUGUAAUAACAAGACCAACUGGGGAUGAAUGUAAGAAUAACAACUGCAAGUAGUUAUCCAUAAGGGUUGACGGUGGAAGGGGAAUUGCAAACGCGAUGAACACAAGUUCUCGGGUCAACAGCGGAGAGUAUCUUCAGGGUCUUCAUGUGCAGCAGACGAUCAUCAGUAAUAAGGGACUCUCCGGGUGAAAAUGAUAACGAGAUCCUAAUGUUAGAUUUAGCAAAAUUCAUUUAACCCGAAUAGAAGAGAGAUCAGAGUCCCAGAGUAUAGACAAGGAGUAAAAAGAUCUUAAUACCACCCAAUGGCGACGUGGGCUCGUAAGCCACACGGCCAUGUUAGUAAAAGUUUUUCAAUGACUAGACUCGACUUCGGUCAAGGAGUUGGAAAGGGGAUUCCUACAGGCAGUCGGCUCUGAUACCAACUUGUGACGCCCCCGAUUUUACCGUACACUAAUCAUACACGCAAACGUGUACGGUCAAGAUCAGGGACUCACGGGAAGAUAUCACAACACAACUCUAUAAAUAAAAUAAGUCAUACAAGCAUCAUAUUACAAGCCAGGGGCCUCGAGGGCUUGAAUACAAGAGCUCGAUCAUAGACGAGUCAGCGGAAGCAACAAUAUCUGGGUACAGUCAUAAGUAAACAAGUUUGCCUUAAGAAGGCUAGCACAAACCGGGAUACAGAUCGAAAGAGGCGCAGGCCUCCUGCCUGGGAUCCUCCUAAACUAUUCCUGGUCAUCGUCAGCGGGCUGCACGUAGUAGUAGGCACCUCCCGAGUAGUAGUAGUCGUCGUCGUCGGUGGCGUCUGGCUCCUGGGCUCCAGCGUCUGGUCGCAGCAAUCGAGUAUAGGAAGGGGGAAAGGGGGAGAAAAGCAACCGUGAGUACUCAUCCAAAGUACUCGCAAGCAAGGAGCUACACUACAUAUGUAUGCAUUGGUAUCAAAUGGAUUAAGGGUAUCAUAUGUGGACUGAACUGCAGAAUGCUGGAAUAAGAGGGGGAUAGCUAGUCCUUUCGAAGACUACGCUUCUGGUAACCUCCAUCUUGCAGCAGUAGAAGAGAGUAGAUGGUAAGUUCACCAAGUAGCAUCGUGUAGCAUAAACCUAACCGAUGAUCCUCCCCUCGUCGCCCUGUGAGAGAGCGAUCACCGGUUGUAUCUGGCACUUGGAAGGGUGUGUUUUAUUAAGUAUCCGGUUCUAGUUGUCAUAAGGUCAAGGUACAACUCCAAGUCGUCCUGUUACCGAAGAUCACGGCUAUUCGAAUAGUUUAACUUCCCUGCAGGGGUGCACCACAUAACCCAACACGCUCGAUCCCAUUUGGCCGGACACACUUUUCUGGGUCAUGCCUGGCCUCGGAAGAUCAACACGUCGCAGCCCUACCUAGGCACAACAGAGAGGUCAGCACGCCAGUCUAAACCCUAUGGCGCAGGGGUCUGGGCCCAUCGCCCAUUGCACACCUGCACGUUGCGUAUGCGGCCGGUGAGCAGACCUAGCAACCUCCAUUACAAAGGAAGUUGCGUUACGCGGUCCAACCCGACGCGCGCCGCUCAAUCAUUGACGUCACGAAGGCUUCGGCUGAUACCACGACGUUGAGUGCCCAUAACUGUCCCCACGUAGAUGGUUAGUGCGUAUAGGCCAGUAGCCAGACUCAGAUCAAAUACCAAGAUCUCGUUAAGCGUGUUAUUCUGAAAUAACCACGGACGCCGACCAGGGCCAGGCCCACCUUUCUCCUAGGUGGUCUCAACCUGCCCUGUCGCUCCGCCACAAAGUAACAGUCAGGGGCCUGCGAGAACUCAGGCCCACCUCUACCGGGAUGGAGCCAGCGGCCCCUUCAGCCCCCAACAUCGGAAUCACUCGCGGGUACUCCUACGAGCCGACCCGACUUUAAUCACCACAAGUAUCAUAUAUUAUGUAUAAGUAUAUACCUGUGACCACCUCCCAAGUGAUCACGGCCCGAUAGUAUAGCAUGGCAGACAGACAAGAAUGUAGGGCCACUGAUGGUAAACUAGCAUCCUAUACUAAGCAUUAGGAUUGCAGGUAAAGGUAACAACAGUAGUAGCAAGGACAGGCUAUGCAUCAGGAUAGGAUUAACUAGAAGUAGUAACAUGCUACACUACUCUAAUGCAAGCAGUAUAGAGAGUAGAGUAGGCGAUAUCUGGUGAUCAAGGGGGGGCUUGCAUGGUUGCUCUGGCAAGAGAGAGGGGUCAUCAACAGCGUAGUCGUACUGGGUAGCAGCGGCGUCGGUCUCGAUGUCUAGCGAGAGAAGAGGGGGAAGAAAUAAUAAAUAUAAUGCAAACAAAUGCAUGACGAUGCAUGACAUGAUAAAGCGUGAUGCUAGGUGUGCCCUAACGCGGUACGAGGUGGUACCGGUGAAGGGGGAAAACAUCCGGGAAAGUAUUCCCGGUGUUUCGCGUUUUCGGACAGAUGAACCGAAGGGGGAAAGUUGCGUGUUUGCUACGCUAGGGAUGCGUGGCGGACGAACGGGUUGCGUAUCCGGAUUCGUCCCGUCGUUCUGAGCAACUUUCAUGUACAAAGUUUUUCCAUCCGAGCUACGGUUUAUUUUAUAUGAUUUUUCAAAGAUUUAAUCCAUUUUCCCAAAUUAUUUGUAUUUCAAAAUUAAUAGACAAAAUGCUAUGGGUACCCAGCCCUGUGUACGCAGAAUGUACACAAAGGCUGACAUGUGGGCCAGUGGACCCAGUUGACCAGUCAAACUUUGACUGGUCAACAGGAGGAUGGGGCCUCCUUGUCAUUGACUGAUUAAACUAGUGAGGUAGUUAAUUAGUUAACUAAGCAAUAUUAAUUAAGUUAAUUAAUUAUUAAAUUAAUUUAUUAAUCAUUAAUUAUAUUUAGUUAUUUUGAAAAAAAAUUAUUCUAACAGGGGGCGGGCCCCACUAGUCAUAAUCACAAGGGGGCUUAGCACUUAAUCUAAUUUGGGGGUUAUCCACACUAAUCCAAAACAGGGGGAAUGGGCCACUGGUCAAAGGCCCCAGCCGGCCAUGGCUGGGCUAGCGUGCACAGCGGCUCGCAGGGGAGGCGCCGGCGGCCAACGCAAGCACGCCAGGGAGGGGGAGCAGGGCACGGCUCCUGCAGUGGCGGCCCCGGCGGCAUGGCACGACGAGAGAGCGGCAGCGCAGCGCGACGGUAGCAGCAGCAGCUCGGCAGUGGGAGGGUUGCGCGGGCGACGAGCGGUCUGGGAGGUGGCGGGUAAGCUGGGCGCUGGCGGCGGGCAGCGCGCAAAGAGAGGCAGAGGCGGGGCGAUGCGGGAGUGGGUCACGCACGGGACGCGGGGGCAGGUCCUGCAGCGAGUGGGGGAAGGGCGCGGGGCGCGGCCGUCGUGGGCGACACGGGGAGGCGGCGCACGGCGAGGACGACUUGGUCGCGAGGAGCAUGGCGCAGAGGGCGCGGUGAGCGCGUGCUCACCGCGGGCGCGCGCGUGGGUGGUCUAGCGUGCGGUGACCGCGAGCGAGGCGUGAGGCAGAGAAAGGGAGAGGCCCCGGGCCUCCCCAGCGUUGAUGGGGAGAGGGGCACCAAGGCUUGCUGGCGGCCGGCGGGGAAGAGGACGAGGACGCGAGGUCCGACGAGGAGGAGGUCGAGGUUGCGUCCGACGCGGGGCGGGGCUUGGCGACGCCGGCGAAGACGGUGGGGCGGCUCCGGCGAGGUGGCGUCGCGGGGGAGGACGGAGGCGCGGUGGGGCGGCGACCGGUGAUGGAGCCCAACGGCGGUGGUCGGCGACAAGCGACGGGGCGUCGGCGAGGGGCACAGGGGCAAGGCGCUCGAUCCGAUCUGGAUCAGGAGGGCGGGUGAGAGAAAGAUCAGGGGUGGGGGUUUUGCGCGGUCGUGGGCUAGGGUUUCGGUGGGUGUGGGGGUUAAGGGAGUGAGGGGGGCCGGCAGGACUAGUGGGCUAGCCGGGUGGGCUGUUUGGCCCAUAUGGCCAGGGAAGUUUUCUUCUUUUCAUUGUUUUAUUUAUGUUUGUCUUUUUCUUUUCUAUUUAUUUGUACUUUACUGUUUUAUUUUGUUCCUCCUUUAUUUUAGUUUUGUAAAGUACAAAAAUGACCCCGAAAUUAGUCCUACCACUAAACCCACUACCAUAAAAAGUUUAGUCCCUAAAUAGAAUAAUUUAUCAUAUUAUUAAUUAUAAAAGGUAUUUUAUUAUUUGUUUUGCUACUGUUUUAUUCAUUUUAGAGUAUUUUAAAGAUUUUAUAAAAGUGGGGUUUCUUCACCACAAUUACCUUUGCAUUAUUUGGUACAACUCAAAUAUUUUUGUUUUAAAGUUUGAAAACUUUUGUUGUUUGUCUUUAUUUUAAAUUUGAAUUUGAAUCGUUUUUGAACUAACACGAGAUUAGCAACAGUAAUUGAGGUGACGUGACAUUAUAGUGUAACUAUCCGGGCGUCACACUGCCUCUCCUCCCCUCCAACCAAUAUAUAUGUGGAGGGGGCACCGCUAGAACACACAACAAACAUUGUUAGCCGUGUGUGGCGCCCCCUUCAUAGUUUACGCCUCCGUCAUAUUCACGUAGUGCUUAGGCGAAGCCCUGCACAGAUCACUUCAUCAUCAUCGUGACCAUGCCGUCGUGUUGACGGAACUCUCCCUCGACACUUUGCUGGGUCAAGAGUUCAAGGCAGGUCAUCGAGCUGAACGUGUGGAAAACUCGGAGGUGUCGUACGUUCUGUACUUGAUCGGUCGGAAUGAGAAGAAGUUCGACUACAUCAACCGCAUUGUCAAACGCUUUCGCUUUCGGUCUACGAGGGUACGUGGACACACUCUCCCCCUCUCGUUGUUAUGCAUCUCCUAGAUAGAUCUUACGUGAGCGUAGAAUUUUUUUUGAAAUUGCAUGUUACGUUCCCCAACAAUAAGCUCAUCUCAUUUUGCUGAAAUCUGGUUCAAAAAAGGUGAAACAGAUUAUAUAUCUGUACAGCUCAUGCAUAAGAAGCCAACUUGAUGUACAUGCGGUUGGGAGAGAAUAAAAGAACAACAUUGACUCCAAGUUAUAUAUAUGUAAGCACUGAAUGUACAAAUAAUUAAUAUGUUUAGGACAAAGUGCCCUCUAAAUUAGUAUCAGGACGCUUCAGUUUAAGAUGAAUUCAGUGGAAAUUCUACACAACUAUUGGCCCUUUUAACUAUACUCAUAACAAACUGACCGAUGCUUUGGCGAUGCACAUUGGACCUGGAGGUAGAGAGUGCAAAAUACAUAUGCCUGAAUCUGGAUAAACUGUAGUGCUGAAGGUAAUACUUUCAAUCACACUCAUAAAGAGGGGCUUCAGCACACAAAGGCAUAUGCUAAUGUUGUUGGACUCAAAGUCAGAUAUGCAUUAUUUUGAAUGUUUUGCUUUUUGUAGAACUGGAAAGAGCGUUGUUAUGCAAACUUUGUACCAGGUAGCGUAGUCUAAGGUAUGCACAUCCCGUCCAACUGGGAUAUGAGGUUUGAACACUCGUUGCUCAAUUUAUUUUACACUCAUGUUUCUUGCUCCCUUUUUAACAGAUGAUAACCAUGCGACAACUUUACACCCACACGGCAUGUUGGGUAGAUGUUUAUGUAGAGGGUACCUAUGUCAGGACCGCAUUUCGUUAAUAUUUUUAUGCACCGGACAGUAGCAAAGGCAUUUCUCAAGCUUGAGGACAGUUGUGGUACAAGACUAGGUGCAAUUUAAUCCAGUGAAUAGUUUUAUCAAUAGUUAUAGUAGUACAUUAAGAUGUUGGUAUUAUAUGCAUUGUUUGACUUUGCUAAACAUUUAUUUGAACAAAAUUUCUGCCAAACUUGUAAAUGUAUUUGAUUGAACGAAAAAACUAACGUCCACACGUGUGGUAUCUUGCACAUCGCUCGCACGCCUUCAUCACCACUCAUUUUGCCACGUAUGAACAGAUGAUAUCAGCAGGAAUCUUUUUGAUUUUCAGCUAAAAAUGUUUUAUCUCUUAAUUAAAAAUCAAAUUAAAAAUCCGUUUUCGCCAUUAAAUCGGUCUCGAUGAAAUCUUCAAAACUAGAUCUCAUGUUGAUAUGUUUCGAUGAUUUUUUUUUUUGCCCAAAAGUUACGGUGAUGUUUACACUAUAGUUGUCAUAGUGCUUAAACUAAAAUUGCCAUGUGACAAUUUUAGUUUGUAUAGCAUGGAAAUUUUAGUUUUUUGUUGAUGGCAAUUCCAGUAGUUUGACCAUCAAAAUUAUUAAUCAUGGCAAUUUUAAGUGCGUGUAUCAUGGCAACUUUAGUUUAUGGUUCAUGGCAAGUCUAGUUUCUUAAUUCCCGACUUAUAAUAUGUCAAAAUUUAUUUUUCAAUGUAGAAGGAAAUAGCUGAAACAUAUCAUGGCAACUUCAGUGUAAACAUCAUGUCAAUUCAUGUGCAAUAGACAUGACAACUUUUAAUCCAAAAAAAUUCAUCAAAAUAUAUUGAUAUGAGAUUUAGUUUCGAAGAUCUCGUCGCAGGGAAUUUAGUGGUGCAAACGGAUUUUCAAUCGGAUUAUUCAUUUAACAGAUGAAACAUUUUAAAAACUAAAAAUCUAAAAAGAUUCUCACAUGCAUGCAUGCGGUGACAUGGCGCAGUCUAUGUGUUAUAGGACGUGUGGACGGGUUUGACUCCCAUCACACGUAUGGACGUUAGCGUUGUCCUUGAUUGAAACAUUUGAAGUAGAAUCAAUGAUCGUUUAAUCAGACACUCUUUAAAAAUUGAGCAAUCUAGUAUAUAUUUUUCUCUCUUUAUUGCAACGCACGAGCAUGUUUAAGCAAAAUACAGAAGCUUGCGCAUGUCCCCCGUGGAAGGUUGGCUGGUGCAGAUGGCGGAAGUACCUGGGCUGAAGGGCCGUUCCGAAUUUGCCGACAGAUACACGAUCAGGCACGCAAAGACCGCGUUCCCACGCCGUGGAGGUGCGCAGCCUGGCACCAGACAAGACGCAUGCGGCCUUCGCACAGGCCAGGCGAGGCGACCAUCGUCGGCGGUGGCGUCACGCGGCCGGGCGCGGGAACGCUCCGUGCGGGACCAAACGAGCCAACAUCGUCGGCUACGGCGCUAUGAACCGUGUCAGCCCAGUCACGAUCGCCGUGUGUCCCGCGCCCCCGCCGCACACACAUCAGCGGGCCUUCUAGAACCAACCCCGAUAUUGCGGCCCACACUCGCCGACGGGGUGGGCCCACGCGUCAUAACCCAGGAUUCCUCGCGUCGGCGUGCGUAUAUAGAUCUCAGCCCAGGCCCCAGAGAGACACAGGACGUGUACCCCAAGAACCAGAGAGCCAACCAACCCAACCCCUGAGCAUCUCCGGCCACGCAUCGGCUAAGCACACGCAAACAGCCGCCCCCACGAUACUCACGAGGCUCCUUCCCCUCCGUGCGCUCUCUUGUUUCCCCCAUCCCAUGGCCACCCCAACCACGACGCCGGCGACGAUGCGGGCCGUGCAGUACGACGCCUGCGGCGGAGGCGCCGCCGGCCUCAAGGUAAAGAGUUACUAUUCGCGGUAGCGGGUCGAAGCUUUUUAGUAUGCUUUGUGUUCUGGUCGGCGCGCGAGAUUGGUACGUUGGUGCUAAGGAUGAUUUGGCCGAUUCACUGGCUAAUUGACUACAGUUAGUACAAAGUAUUAGAGUAUAUAUGUUAGUUUUUUCCAGGGAACCCCUUGGUGGUGGAGAUCGCAGUCAGUUCACCUGAAUCCUUUCUUUUGAAUUGUUUUUCAUGGCAAGACAAGUAGUCAAGAAGCUAGCUUGCUUACUCAAGUAAUAGAACUUUGCUCUAGCGGCUUUUGCUGUAUAAUUUGUGAUGGGCUAUUGAGUAUUUUAGUGGUUUCUAUGGUGGUGAUGUGUUACACUAGCUAGAUUGAUAUAUUCUCUCUUUCUCGUGUCUACUUGGCUUUAGGAGUGGUUAAGAUGUGUUACAGUGGAAUUAGUUAAAUAGGUCGCACAUACCUGCUGUGGGAUGCUCGGAAAAGCACUGCACAAUAGUUUUUGUAUUGUGACCCAUGAGUCAGCACCCCUGGAUCCCAAACAUAUUCCGAUGACGAGUCAGUCGGAAAUUUAUUAUUUGAAAGUUGCACAUGUCUGGUGUUAGAUGAUUGGAAAAGCACCGGAGAUGAUUGAGAUGACCAAGUCAGUUGUGUGAGCUCUGAUUGUGAGUCAAUCGGUCAACAGGGGAUUCUUUUCACAAGAACCCUAUUUUAGACUAGAGAUCUGCCUGACAGCUUGAUGCUUAUACUGCUUAAUUAAUUAACAAACAAAUCAAAUUAGUUUGUUUUAAAAAAAACAAAGGAGAACAGUAAACAUAAUAUUUCCUUCUUCCAUGAAGAUGAACCAGUAGAACCUAUAAACCUGUGAUUCUGACAUCUCUCUAAUGCAGCAUGUAGAAGUCCCCGUCCCUUCUGCAAAGAAGAAUGAGGUCCUGCUGAAACUGCAAGCUGCAACCAUCAACCCAGUUGACUGGAAGAUACAGAAAGGGGACUUGAGGCCUCUGCUGCCUCGUAGACUGCCUUUUAUCCCAGGUAACUAUCCUCAUUCAUAGUGCCACUGCAUGGAUGCUAGCCAUUUUCUAUCAACCAUGGAUUCUGUUUGGAGGCUUCCUAUGUAUAGAGAGCAAAAUAGCACCAAGCGUAGUUAUGAGAACGUUAUUUGAUCAUGUCAGUCUUGCUAUGUUAUUUUGUUCUUCACCUUUAACAACUAUCCAGGAUGUCUCUUAUCUGAUAAUCAGCUUAUGAUAAAGAUAGCAUAUAUGUGUGUGUGUUUGUGUGUGUUGGUCAAUUCAUGAAACAACUUGCUGAUAGAUGCAUCUCUUCUCUACUGCUCCUCUUCUUGCAGUGACUGAUGUUGCAGGAGUAGUUGUUGAUGUUGGUCCUGGAGUGAAAGGUCUCACAGCGGGUGAUCAAGUCGUCGCCAUGUUGAACUCUUUUGUGAGUGAACUUCACUCAUGACAACAUAUUUCCAUGUUUGUCAUCUUCAUACUUAGAAAGAAGAUGAUUUCAGAACAAAUCCGCUUCUUUAAAAGAAACAAUAUUGCUGUAAGCUCGUUAAUGUGACAAUGUCUUUGCUGUUACAGAACGGAGGUGGACUGGCAGAGUAUGCUGUAGCAUCCGCAAACCUGACCGUCAAAAGGCCAGCUGAGGUUUCUGCAGCUGAGGGUGCUGGGCUUCCCAUUGCUGCAGGCACUGCGCUCCAGGCACUAAGGUCCAUUGGUGCCAAGUUUGACGGCACCGGCAAGCCAUUAAACGUGUUGGUCACCGCUGCCUCUGGCGGCGUAGGCCUGUACGCGGUGCAGCUUGCAAAGCUAGCGAACCUUCAUGUUACCGCCACCUGCGGCGCACGCAACAUGGAUCUUGUGAAGAGCUUGGGCGCAGACGAGGUGAUGGACUACAGGACCCCAGAGGGGGCGAGCCUGCAGAGUCCCUCCGGCAGGAAGUACGACGGCGUGGUUCACUGCACCGUCGGUGUCAGCUGGUCGUCUUUCCAGCCAUUGCUCAGUGAUGCCGGGCGAGUGAUCGAUAUCACCCCCAACUUCUCGGCCAUCCUCACAUCUGCGCUGCACAGGAUGACAUUUUCCAAGAAGCGCCUGGUGCCCCUGCUCCUGUCGCCCAACAAGGCGGACCUGGAGUUAUUGGUUGGGUUGCUCAAGGAAGGCAAGCUGAAGACGGUGGUCGACUCGAAGUUCCCGUUGAGCGAGGCAGACAAGGCGUGGCAGAGCAGUAUCGAUGGCCAUGCCACUGGUAAGAUUGUCGUUGAGAUGGAGAGCUGAUCGUCGUCAAUGCUUCCUAGUAUUAAGGACUUGCAUACAGACGGUGGACGUGAAUACUUAGAUGUAAUCAUACAGACUAGUCACUUGUGCGUUUGUUUAUUGGGUGAUGGUUCGUUUAUUCAGUUUAUAUUAUAUUAUAUCUUACAGUAUAUUAUUAAAAGGGUAUUGAGAACUAUGAGUUGCAAAAAACUGUAUGGCUAUCGGUAAACAAUAGCAUUGUGCUGUCAAAAAUACAGUUCGCUCUUUGCUGAUGCUUUGUGCAACCACCACAAAGUGCUGCAGUGGUCAUCUGUUGGCCAGAAUUCAGAAUCACCUUCAGUUUUUCUCGAUCCAAACAAAGAACCAUUAACCUCUGCAGAAGAACAAAUCACAUACUGAGAGCCCAAAGCAGAACAGUAGGGGCGUAGGGCGUCUCUUGAAUAUAGCAGACCAAAUUAGGAAGUUCAAUUCUAACGCACAGGGACUGUGAUGCCUUUUAGUCAUUCCCAUAAAAAGAGGUUUGGUGUACUAAUUUUGAGCAACUCUAAACAAUUACCCAACCAGUUAAUAAAAACUGAAGUUGACUUGCACAGCAAAUCAAGCUCGUGAGGAUACGGAGUAAACUACUGUACUCCGUCUUGUGCGAAUCAGGUGACCUAGUUUAUAAAUAAUCAAAAAGGCUAAAAAUAUGACAUCAGAUUUUAGAUUGUGGCAAAUCAAACUUUUUUAUCAAGUUAUGUCGUGGGAUGACAAUUUUUUAAAGCAAGCAUUGCGUGCCAUGCUUGCUUUAAAAAAUUGCCAUCCACACAACAACAUAAUUUGCCAUGCUAAAAAAUACUGAUGUUCGAAUCUUAACAUAAUAUGUAAAGAAAAUCCAACAACGCAUCAGCUCAAAAGAAUGCCAAAACUUACUAGGACUGCAUCUGAAUAGAUUGUAAUAUUCUACAAUUAGUAACCAAUAUCACCAUUGCUUUCCUUGCCACAAAACAAGGAGAGCAUCAAUUUAUGACCUGAAUACGCUGACAACGACCGCACAUGAACCCAGCUCACGACACACCAUUUUUGUGAAUCUUAGUACGUUCAACGACAAUGAAAUAGCAAACUUCUACCAACGCAUAGCUACCAAACUCACUUUGCAGCUGCCCGGGCACCACCACGCCCACCGGUGCCAGAGUGAUCAACCCGCUGGUAGCCAACAUCACCUCCACGACCUGAGCCGCCUCUACCACCGCCUCUGCCUCCAAAAUCAGAUCGAUA